UACAGAGGUCCCGAGCGUUGUUCGGAUUCACUGGGCGUAAAGGGUGCGUAGGUGGUGAGGUAAGUCGGAUGUGAAAUCUCCAAGCUCAACUUGGAAACUGCAUUGGAAACUACCUUGCUAGAGGAUUUGAGGGGGGAUUGGAAUACUUGGUGUAGCAGUGAAAUGCGUAGAUAUCAAGUGGAACACCAGUGGCGAAGGCGAAUCCCUGGAAAAUACCUGACACUG
rnacentral:rRNA from 1 species